AACGAACGCUGGCGGCACGCCUAACACAUGCAAGUCGAACGAAGCCUUCGGGCUUAGUGGCGCACGGGUGCGUAACGCGUGGGAAUCUGCCCUUGGGUUCGGAAUAACAGUUAGAAAUGACUGCUAAUACCGGAUGAUGUCUUCGGACCAAAGAUUUAUCGCCCAAGGAUGAGCCCGCGUAGGAUUAGGUAGUUGGUGGGGUAAUGGCCCACCAAGUCGACGAUCCUUAGCUGGUCUGAGAGGAUGAUCAGCCACACUGGGACUGAGACACGGCCAAGACUCCUACGGGAGGCAGCAGUGGGGAAUAUUGGACAAUGGGCGAAGGUCUGAUCCAGCAGUGCCGCGUGGGUGAUGAAGGCCUUAGGGUUGUAAAGCUCUUUUACCAGGGAUGAUAAUGACAGUACCUGGAGAAUAAGCUCCGGCUAACUCCGUGCCAGCCGCCGCCGUAA
rnacentral:rRNA from 1 species